CGACGAACUCUUUCGAGAGUUAGUGGCGGACGGGUGAGUAACGCGUGAGAAUCUGCCUUCAGGAUGGGGAUAACAGUUAGAAAUGACUGCUAAUACCCGAUGUGCCGCAAGGUGAAAGGCGAAAGCCGCCGGAAGAGGAGCUCGCGUCUGAUUAGCUAGUUGGUGGGGUAAAAGCCUACCAAGGCAUCGAUCAGUAGCUGGUUUGAGAGGACGAUCAGCCACACUGGGACUGAGACACGGCCCAGACUCCUACGGGAGGCAGCAGUGGGGAAUUUUCCGCAAUGGGCGAAAGCCUGACGGAGCAAUACCGCGUGAGGGAGGAAGGCUCUUGGGUUGUAAACCUCUUUUGCUCGGGAAGAACAAAUGACGGUACCGAGCGAAUAAGCAUCGGCUAACUCCGUGCCAGCAGCCGCGGUAAUACGGAGGAUGCAAGCGUUAUCCGGAAUUAUUGGGCGUAAAGCGUCCGCAGGUGGCAUGACAAGUCUGCUGUCAAAGACCGAAGCUUAACUUCGGGAAGGCAGUGGAAACUGUCAAGCUAGAGUACGGUAGGGGUAGAGGGAAUUCCCAGUGUAGCGGUGAAAUGCGUAGAGAUUGGGAAGAACAUCGGUGGCGAAAGCGCUCUACUAGGCCGUAACUGACACUCAGGGACGAAAGCUAAGGUAGCGAAUGGGAUUAGAUACCCCAGUAGUCUUAGCUGUAAACGAUGGAUACUAGGCGUAGCUUGUAUCGACCCGAGCUGUGCCGAAGCUAACGCGUUAAGUAUCCCGCCUGGGGAGUACGCACGCAAGUGUGAAACUCAAAGGAAUUGACGGGGGCCCGCA
rnacentral:rRNA from 1 species